rnacentral:rRNA from 1 species
CAAUAGCGUAUAUUAAAGUUGUUGCAGUUAAAAAGCUCGUAGUUGGAUUUCUGGUGGGAGCGAUCGGUCUGGCGCUUAGCGCGAGUACUUGCAUCGUCUCCGGCCAUCCUUGGGGAGAGUCUGUCUGGCAUUAGGUUGUCGGGCAGGGGAUCCUCAUCGUUUACUGUGAAAAAAUUAGAGUGUUCAAAGCAGGCUUAUGCCGUUGAAUAUAUUAGCAUGGAAUAAUAAGAUAGGACUUUGGUACUAUUUUGUUGGUUUGCGCACCAAAGUAAUGAUUAAUAGGGACAGUUGGGGGUAUUCGUAUUCCGUUGUCAGAGGUGAAAUUCUUGGAUUUACGGAAGACGAACUACCGCGAAAGCAUUUACCAAGGAUGUUUUCAUUAA